AUUGAACGCUGGCGGCAUGCUUUACACAUGCAAGUCGAACGGUAACAGGCCUUCGGGUGCUGACGAGUGGCGAACGGGUGAGUAAUGCAACGGAACGUGCCCAGAGGUGGGGGAUAACGCAGCGAAAGCUGUGCUAAUACCGCAUGUGAUCUGAGGUUGAAAGCGGGGGACCACGCAGCAAUGUUUGGCCUUGCGCCUCUGUAGCGGCCGAUGCCAGAUUAGGUAGUUGGUGGGGUAAAGGCCUACCAAGCCGACGAUCUGUAGCUGAUCUGAGAGGACGACCGGCCACACUGGAACUGAGACACGGCCCAGACUCCUACGGGAGGCAGCAGUGGGGAAUUUUGGGCAAUGGGCGCAAGCCUGAUCCAGCAAUGCCGCGUGCGGGAAGAAGGCCUUCGGGUUGUAAACCGCUUUUGUACGGGACGAAAAGGCUCUGGCUAAUACCUGGGGCUGAUGACGGUACCGUAAGAAUAAGCACCGGCUAACUACGUG
rnacentral:rRNA from 1 species